rnacentral:lncRNA from 1 species
UCUUGGAGUAAAAUCACAGCUAGAUCUGAAGCCCUCUGUCCUGCAGAGGAGACAGUAAACUAAAUAGCAAGGGAUGCAGGCUGGAGGACAAGUUUCAGGAGGUAGUGAAGAUGUGAGAUGACCUGACUCCUUCAUCUGCUGACCAGAGCAGAGGCAGCGGAGGACUGAAUCAGAGGCUUGAGGAAGGAGAAGAGCCACCGCAGCCGCUGAGGGCAAUGUCACCGCAAGAUGGCAAGAUUUUGGCAAAGGACCUGUAUGUGCUGUAUGUCUGUAUCACUGGAGGAGAUGGGGUGAGAGUAGAGGAACCCCUCCUUUCUUGGGAGACAGUAUGUCUCAUGUAAUUUAGCUGCCUUCAAACUUGUGGUAUUGUCUAAAGUAACUUUGGUCUUCUGGUCAUCUCCUCCUCCCAAGUGCUGGGAUGACAGGCCCUCACCACCCUGCCUUGUUUAUGUGGUACUAAGGAUAGAACCCAGGGUCUUGUGCAUAGUAGGCAAGUACUCUUCCAACUGCACUAUGUCCGAAGUUAACUUAAAAUCUAGCUCAUUUGUGUAGGGAGUAAAGAAAGCGUGCGGUAAGCAUGCUUGGAAAUGAGCCUUGUGGACAUCUGCCAGGACCCAGGCACAGUUUACGGGGUCACAGAGUAGGGUCAAGGGCUACAGAGGAAAGUGGUGGUGGUGGGGGGAGAAUGGAUACUGAAAAUGAUCUAGCUCUGUAAAUGGGUCAGAGGAUGUAGCAGGAGGCCAAGGGAGGAAAGGACAGCUAAAUGCCAAAGAAGUGCUGAGUGUGGCAUACCUAAACGAGCCGAGGUUCCUACGGGAGCUCCCUGAGAAACAAGGAGGGGCACAGCCAUGGCAUAGCACAAUUAUCUGUUUUAUCAAGUCAACUCCCGAUGCCUCCUGUCAGCCCAUCCUUGACAUGAUCCCUCUCUAUGCUCAGACUGCUCAUCUUUCCUAGACACUGGUAACUUUCUUCACCAUCAAGAUCUCCAUGCUGCAUCCAGGAAACAAACGUCUCACUUUUUGUUGACCUUGUUGCUUCAUCCCUACAGUGACUGCCUGGCCCAAGGCUGGCCAGUAACAGAAAGCUGAGACCUCAGGGAGUCUCUUUGGUGACUCUAUGGGCUGACUGCACUUCCAGUUCUCCUCUGUCCUAACUCAUUACACAGCUGUGGGCUGAAGUGAAACUGCCCAGGGAUCUCAUUUGAGCUCAUCUUUGGUCUGUUGUUAUGAAGGAGACAUGUUAGAAGCCUUCCCACAGGCUGUUUACCUAAAGAAACCACUGUUCUCCUGAGGCACUGACUAUCCAGAUGACAGUGUCCCACUGUGCGUCCCACAAAUAUGCUGGGCAAUCAGUGCUAGACACCACAGGAGUUGCAAAGCAGCGCAACCCAAGGACACACUUCCCAAGGCUGAAGUCAUCACAAAAGUCAGGACAGAGCUCCAGAAGGCACUGCACAGGAACACAUGGUUAAGCCUGGCCAACUCCCACACGUCUGCUACCACAGCUACUCUGCAGCCCAGACUGCAGGAUCCAGAAGUUCAAGGUUUGUAUGAGCUACAGGGUGAGUUCAAG